rnacentral:rRNA from 1 species
GUGGGGAAUAUUGGGCAAUGGGGGCAACCCUGACCCAGCGACGCCGCGUGAGGGAAGAAGGCCUUAGGGUCGUAAACCUCUGUUGUGUGGGAAGAAGGAAGUGACGGUACCACACGAGGAAGUCCCGGCUAACUACGUGCCAGCAGCCGCGGUAAUACGUAGGGGACGAGCGUUGUCCGGAAUUACUGGGCGUAAAGGGCGCGUAGGCGGUCAUUUAAGUCAGCUGUGAAAUGGUCCGGCUCAACCGGAUCAUGCGGUUGAAACUGGAUGACUGGAGUGCUGGAGAGGCAAGUGGAAUUCCCAGUGUAGCGGUGAAAUGCGUAGAUAUUGGGAAGAACACAGGUGGCGAAGGCGACUUGCUGGCCAGCAACUGACGCUGAGGCGCGAAAGCCAGGGGAGCAAACGGGAUUAGAUACCCUGGUAGUCC